rnacentral:lncRNA from 1 species
AGGAACCAUGGCGGUGUGCCCGUCAAAUCGGCAGAGGAGCACAUUCUCUCAUUUCUCUGGUAUGCUGUCAACAAGGCCUCAAUGAGGGAGGUUGCUGUGCUUUUCAACAUGGCAGAGUCUACGCAGUUUGCUGUGAUUGAUAGGGUGCUCGGCUUUCUUUGUGCCAUUGCCCCAGACGUCAUAUACUUUGGAAUGGACAAAGAGGCAUUAGCCAGGGAAUUCGAGAAUCUUGCAGGGUUUCCGAAUGUAAUAGGGUGUAUCGAUGGCACCUAUAUUCCCAUGCGCUGCCCAGUGAACAAGACAAGGUCUACCUAUAUAAACAGGCAUGACCAGGUGUCAUUAACAAUGCAGGGCAUCUGCAACUCCAAAGGCAGGUUCCAAGACGUCUUUACUGGCCCACCAAGCAAGGUUCAUGAUGGUCGUGUGCUGAAACUAUCAACUGUUCAGCAAGAU